rnacentral:rRNA from 1 species
AGAGUUUGAUCAUGGCUCAGAACGUACGCUGGCGGCACGCCUUAUACAUGCAAGUCGAACGGAGUAGCAAUACUCAGUGGCAGACGGGUGAGUAACAUGUGGGAAUCUUCCCUUUGGUGAGGAAUAACACGAGGAAACUUGUGCUAAUACCUCAUAAGUCUUUACGGAGAAAGCUUUAUGCGCCAAUGGAUGAGCCCGCAUUUGAUUAGUUUGUUGGUAGGGUAAUGGCCUACCAAGACUGUGAUCAAUAGCUGAUCUGAGAGGAUGAUCAGCCACAUUGGGACUGAGACACGGCCCAAACUCCUACGGGAGGCAGCAGUAGGGAAUAUUGCACAAUGGAGGAAACUCUGAUGCAGCGAUGCCGCGUGAGUGAAGAAGGCCUUUGGGUUGUAAAGCUCUUUCGUCGGGGAAGAAAAUGACUGUACCCGAAUAAGAAGGUCCGGCUAACUUCGUGCCAGCCGCCGCGGU